rnacentral:tRNA from 1 species
GUGGUUAUAGCUCAGUUGGUUAGAGCGUCGGAUUGUGGUUCCGAAGGUCGCGGGUUCGAGCCCCGUUUUCCACCCCU